UCCCUCUCUCUCUCUCUCUCUCUCUGUUUUGAUACUGAUUCAUGGUUGAUGAUUAGCAGAUAUGGGUUUAGGGUUUGUGUUUCCUAAAGUUAUCGCCUUUUUUAGGUUAAAGACUUGUUUUUUUUUAAAACAUCCUCUAGAAAGAUGAUAGAGUAAAGGUUUGAGCUUCCUGAGCCUGCUCUUUCGUAUCAAUUUCGCUAGAGAUGGUAUGCAGAGGAAAGAUUGGCUCUGUCUUGUUGCUGUCCAUAGUGACUGUUGCUUGCUCACUGUUUCUUUCCACUUUACUGUUGCAGACACAUAAUAAGUUUUUGCUGCCUUACUUUCAGGUUUUUAACGGGGCCAGUUUGUUGUUAUUCAACAACACACACAUCCAAUGCAACUAGCAUGUGGAGGUGGAGGUGGAGCCGAGCAAGAAUAAGAAGAAGAGAGGCGGAGAAGGAGAGAAGACAGAGACACAGAGGAAGAAGAGGAUGCGGCGAGGUGGAUGGAAGAGGAAUCUAGCGGUGGUGGUGGAGCCAAGCAAGCAGAAGAAGAGAGAGGUGGUGUCACUAGAAGAUAGAAGAUGAAUCUUAGGUUUAGUUUCUAAUUUGUUUUCAAAAAUUUGGUUUAGCGUUGUUUAGUUUGAUAUACCCAUCAUAGAUAUGUAACCAAUUUUGAUAUAUAAUAAUUUUUUUUUUAAAUAUUAA